rnacentral:RNase_P_RNA from 1 species
GAGCCGGCCGGGCGGCCGCGCCGGACGCCCUCGGGCGUGCGGUGAGGAAAGUCCGGACUCCACAGAGCACGGUGGUGGCCAACAGCCACCCACGGUGACGUGCGGGACAGUGCCACAGAGAACAGACCGCCAACGGCCUGCGCCCUCGGGUGCAGGUGCGGGCAAGGGUGAAACGGUGAGGUAAGAGCUCACCAGCGGCCUCGGUGACGGGGCCGGCUCGGUAAACCCCACCGGGAGCUAGACCAAGAGGGCGCCUCGGCGCCUGCGCUGACGGGCUGCUCGUCCAUGGGUCAGCGGGUAGGUCGCACCGAGCGGCGCAGCGAUGCGCCGCCCAGAUGGAUGGUCGCCCAGCGCCUUCGGGCGUGGACAGAAUCCGGCUUACAGGCCGGCUCAU